UGAGACACGUUACUUCAGUGUGAGUUUUAAAGCUGCAGCAGCUCCAGCAGCUCCAGCAGCACUUACUGUAACUAUAGUCUCACAGCGGACAGAUCCUUGAGGUCAACAAGCAGCUGAUUCACUUCACCAGGAAAACCAAGUGAGCGGCGAGUGGAGAAGAUGAGAAGAGGAAUCCACCAUCAGUGCAGGGAUGAAGCAGCACCUGCAGCAGGAGACGCCACAGGUAUGAUCACAGAGACUUUGUCUCCUUUAAAUGUCCUCAAAGUCACGUUGUUUUCAGGGAGAAAUAACUGGAGAGGUCAGGACACGUCACAAUGUCACUCAGGACACGUCACGAUGUCACGUAAUCCUGCACAUCUAGUCUCAGCCAUUACAGACGUGUAUUAGUUUUUACCAAAUCAUCAACACACAAUAGCUCAAGACACGACACAGACGUGUGUUUGCAGAGGUGAGACAUGUCCACUCAUGUCCACUCAUGUCCACUCAUGUCCACUCAUGACAGAAGAAAUGUGCACUCUGACCUCUGCUACAGUCCAGGUGUAUAGAGCAGCUCGUGUUUGAAGUCGCACACACGUUAUCAUCUAAAACACUAACUGUUUCUUUUCAGCAUCUUUCAGAACUGAGAAGUGACGUCAGACACAGACUGUAACUACGUCCUUGUUGUGUUGAGUAGCGAGUUUGAAAUCAUGUUAUUAUCAUGUUAAAUCCACAGUAUAACCACAAAAACAGGGAAGGAAUAUGUAACAAGAACAGAAGCGUCAAAUACUGACUCUCCACCCAAUUUAAGGACUAACACACGUAAUCAUAAACAUCUUCUAUCACCGUUUGUGUUUCCUGGGCUACGUUUGAUUAUGAACUGCAGAAUUGAAUCUGUAAAUGUUAGGUGAAGGCUAGAGAAAAUACCCAACUAGUUUAUUUUAUUAGAAAAAAACCUAUGGCCCAUCUGUGGCUUGUGGGACUGGUUUAAAGGGUCGUAAUGUGGUUAAGAGGGUGAAUUAGAAAAAAAACAUAUAACUGUAUGCAGUGCAUGAAAAUCUAAGACAUGCAUUAUUAAAACAACAACAUGUAUCAUAUACAUAUCACAUAUUAUAAACAUGUCAUAUACAUGUCAUAUACAUAUUAUAUACAUGUAUGUCAUAUACAUCAGACUGGGAAAGAUGUUUGUCUGCUACAACGUUCUGUGAAGACUGUCCACACAUGCUCACUGUACUCCUCUGUUCCCCCAGAGCCUGUGUGUGUGUGUGUGUGUGAGUCCUCCAGCUCCGAGACAGAAAAGAGGACAAGAAGCAGAGGACACGAACCAGACCCUCCCCUCUCACCCCUGCUCCCCAAAUAGCAGCAGCAGCAGCAGCAGCAGCAGCAGCAGCAGCAGCAGCAGCAGCAGCAGCAGCAGCAGCAGCAGCAGCAGCAGCAGCAGCAGCAGCAGUGUACAGUAGAAGAAGUCACCACGUUUACCAGGUAAACUCCCAUAUAUCCAGCUGCUAUUGUGCUGUUGUGUGGUUAGUGAGUGUCCACAUUUUGUCCACAGUGACGUCAUCUGUAACAAACAUGGACACUACUUGUUUGUGUGGUUGUGUGAGGUAUGGUCAGCAUUGACUCUGCUGAGGACACCACUUAAUAUGAUCGUCAACCUGCAUGCACGCUGAAGCUGAGGAAGAUAAAUGGAACCCAGCCAUCAGCGCCACUUAGCCUGUGACCUGUACAAAUAAGACCAUACCUCAUUCAACCACACUUUUGUGGCAUUGGAACUAUCCCUUUAAAGUGAGGACAUAUGAUAUAUGUGUUAAUAACUGAUAUAUGACACUAAACUGCUGCUAAAACAACAGUAAAUAACUGCAAAAUGAUGAUCUCCAGCCACAUGUAGAGAGGUGGCACUGUGUGCAGCUGACAGACACUGAUACUGUGGACGUGGGCAUCUUCCCUGUGGCCCACGGUGCAGUGCUGCAUCUCUGGUCAGUUGAUAGUCUGAGAUGAAGCACUGUAGCUCGGGACAGAGGACAGAAACACCACAUCUGAUCAUGUCUGAAGUCACGAGACAGCAUCCAGCAUCAGGUCCAGGUCUACCAUGUCAUCUAUCUGUCUGUCUGUCUGUCUGUCUGUCUGUCUGUCUGUCCAUCCAUAUCAUCAGCAUUCUUCUCCUCUCUCCUGGGGUCCAGUUUUCCCAGGAAUCCCUUGACCUAUCAGACAGGGGGAUUCCUGGAAAUACUGUUCUUAGGGGCGGGGCUUAUCAGCAAUGUUAUACCAUGUGAUCGUGUGUGUAACUGUUUCAGUCUCAUGUGAUGCUUCUGUUCUCCUCUGUACUGUUGUACCAUGACAACUGCUCUUUGAUCAAUAAACAAUCAAACACA